rnacentral:rRNA from 1 species
AUUGAACGCUGGCGGCAUGCCUUACACGUGCAAGUCGAACGGCAGCACGGGAGCAAUCCUGGUGGCGAGUGGCGAACGGGUGAGUAAUAUAUCGGAACGUGCCCAGUAAUGGGGGAUAGCCCGGCGAAAGCCGGAUUAAUACCGCAUACGACCUACGGGUGAAAGCGGGGGAUCGCAAGACCUCGCGUUAUUGGAGCGGCCGAUAUCAGAUUAGCUUGUUGGUGGGGUAAAAGCCUACCAAGGCGACGAUCUGUAGCUGGUCUGAGAGGACGACCAGCCACACUGGGACUGAGACACGGCCCAGACUCCUACGGGAGGCAGCAGUGGGGAAUUUUUGGGACAAUGGGCGCAAGCCUGAUCCAGCCAUGCCGCGUGCGGGAAGAAGGCCUUCGGGUUGUAAACCGCUUUUGUCAGGGAAGAAACGGGCUUUCGUUAAUACCGAGAGCUAAUGACGGUACCUGAAGAAUAAGCACCGGCUAAACUACGUGCCAGCCGCCGCA